rnacentral:misc_RNA from 1 species
GAUGAAGAACGUAGCGAAAUGCGAUACUUGGUGUGAAUUGCAGAAUCCCGUGAACCAUCGAGUCUUUGAACGCAAGUUGCGCCCGAAGCCAUUAGGCCGAGGGCACGCCUGCCUGGGCGUCACACGUCGUUGCCCCCCCAUCUACUCCUUCGGGAUUGCGGGGGGCGGAUGAUGGCCUCCCGUGCGCCUCGCCGCGCGGUUGGCAUAAAUGCCAAGUCCUCGGCGACGCACGCCACGACAAUCGGUGGUUGCGAAACCUCGGUCGCCCGUCGUGUGCGGUCGUCGCGCAUCGAGGGCUCGAAAAAAUUGCCGGGUUCCGGCUCGGCUUUCAACGCGACCCCAGGUCAGGCGGGGUUACCCGCUGAAUUUAAGCAUAUCAAUAAGCGGAGGA